GCUGGGGGCUGUGUGCAGGUGUGGAGGGGGGGUAGCUCAGGGUGCAGGCAGGGGGUUGCUGGAGGCUCUGUACCCAGAGGGCUCCUCUGUGGUCCCUGUUCUCAGCGGGCUCUGCCAGCCAUGCAGCUGCUCCUGUGCCCCUCAAUUCUGCCCAUGGGCUCAGGGCUUCUGCUCCAUGGGGAGCUCCUGGCUUCAGCCCCACACAGGGCCUGGGGAUGCAGCUUCAACUCGUGGGGGAUGCUGCAUUUCACCUGGAUGCCCCUUGCGAACUGCUGACCUAGCCCCUCUGACAGGUGUUCAUCCAACCUGUUCUUAAAAACCUCCAUGACAGGGAUUCCACAACCUCCCUUGGAUGCCAGUUCCAGAUUUUAACCACUCUCCAACUUAGAAAGUUUCUCUCCUAACAUCCAACCUAAACCUCCCUUGCUGCAGCUGAUGCUGACUAUGGCUGGUCCUACCUCCAGCUCAGAUUCGUCAGAUGUUACCACUGGCUGAA